rnacentral:rRNA from 1 species
UUCUUGUUUUAAUAUAAGAAGUAAUUCCUGCCCAGUGACUAACACUUCAACGGCCGCGGUAUCCUAACCGUGCAAAGGUAGCAUAAUCACUUGCCCGUUAAUUGCGGGCUAGUAUGAAUGGACUAACGAAAUAAAAGCUGUCUCUAUAAGACCAAUAAAAGUUAUUCUCUAGUUGAAGAACCCUAGAUAAUCUCGAAGGACAAGAAGACCCUAUAGAGCUUUAUCUUAACAAAGAUAUAUUACUUUUCUAAGAUUCGGUUGGGGCGACCCGGGAAGUAAUAAUCAUCCCUUUUAUCCAGAUUAAUUAAUCUCACCCUUGACCCUUAUUCAAGAUCAUAAAAACAAGCUACCUUAGGGAUAACAGGCUAAUCCUACUAAAGAGUCCUUAUCAAUAGUGGGGUUUGGCACCUCGAUGUUGGCUUAGGGAAUCUAUAUGGCGCAAAAGUCAUAUAAAGAUGGUUUGUUCAACCAAAAAUACCCUACAUGAGCUGAGUUCAGACCGGCGUAAGCCAGGUUAGUUUCUAUCCUCGAUAAUAAUAUCUGUUUAUAGUACGAAAGGACCUAAAUAAGAAUAAUAAUUAUAUAUAAAGAAUUAAUAUAAUAUAAAAUAAACUACAUUCUUCAUAUACUAUG